GAUGAACGCUGGCGGCGUGCUUAACACAUGCAAGUCGAACGAGAAAUGGAGACGGAAACCUUCGGGCGGAAGGCUUCAUUUCGAGUGGCGGACGGGUGAGUAACGCGUGGGUAACCUGCCUCAUACAGGGGGAUAACAGUUGGAAACGACUGUUAAUACCGCAUAAGACCACAGCACCGCAUGGUGCGGGGGUAAAAACUCCGGUGGUAUGAGAUGGACCCGCGUUGGAUUAGCCAGUUGGCGGGGUAACGGCCCACCAAAGCGACGAUCGAUAGCCGAUCUGAGAGGAUGACCGGCCACAUUGGGACUGAGACACGGCCCAAAAUCCUACGGGAGGCAGCAGUGGGGAAUAUAGCACAAUGGGGGAAGCCCUGAUGCAGCGACGCCGGGUAAGUGAAGAAGUGCGUCGGUAUGUAAAGCUCUAUCAGCAGGGAAGAAAAUGACGGUACCUGAGUAAGAAGCCCCGGCUAACUACGUG
rnacentral:rRNA from 1 species